rnacentral:rRNA from 1 species
GACGAACGCUGGCGGCGUGCCUAAUACAUGCAAGUCGAGCGGACCAAACAGGAGCUUGCUCUUGUUUGGUUAGCGGCGGACGGGUGAGUAACACGUGGGUAACCUGCCCGUAAGACCGGGAUAACUCCGGGAAACCGGAGCUAAUACCGGAUAACACCGAAGACCGCAUGGUCUUUGGUUGAAAGGCGGCUUCGGCUGCCACUUACGGAUGGGCCCGCGGCGCAUUAGCUAGUUGGUGAGGUAACGGCUCACCAAGGCGACGAUGCGUAGCCGGCCUGAGGGGGUGACCGGCCACACUGGGACUGAGACACGGCCCAGACUCCUACGGGAGGCAGCAGUAGGGAAUCUUCCGCAAUGGACGAAAGGCUGACGGAGCGACGCCGCGUGAGCGAAGAAGGUCUUCGGAUCGUAAAGCUCUGUUGUUAGGGAAGAAGAAGCGCCGUUCGAACAGGGCGGCGCGGUGACGGUACCUAACGAGAAAGCCCCGGCUAACUACGUG